AAUGAACGCUGGCGGCAUGCCUUACACAUGCAAGUCGAACGGCAGCAUGACCUAGCUUGCUAGGUUGAUGGCGAGUGGCGCACGGGUGAGUGAUGCAUCGGAACGUGCCUUUUAGUGGGGGAUAACGUAGCGAAAGUUACGCUAAUACCGCAUAUUCUCUGAGGAGGAAAGCAGGGGACCUUCGGGCCUUGCGCUAGAAGAGCGGCCGAUGUCGGAUUAGCUAGUUGGUGAGGUAAAGGCUCACCAAGGCAACGAUCCGUAGCGGGUCUGAGAGGAUGAUCCGCCACACUGGAACUGAGACACGGCCCAGACUCCUACGGGAGGCAGCAGUGGGGAAUUUUGGACAAUGGGCGCAAGCCUGAUCCAGCCAUGCCGCGUGAGUGAAGAAGGCCUUCGGGUUGUAAAGCUCUUUCGGCUGGGAAGAAAUCGCACCCUCUAAUACAGGGUGUGGAUGACGGUACCAGCAUAAGAAGCACCGGCUAACUACGUG
rnacentral:rRNA from 1 species